rnacentral:rRNA from 1 species
GAUGAACGCUGGCGGCGUGCCUAAUACAUGCAGGUCGAGCGAACAGACGAGGAGCUUGCUCCUCUGACGUUAGCGGCGGACGGGUGAGUAACACGUGGAUAACCUACCUAUAAGACUGGGAUAACUUCGGGAAACCGGAGCUAAUACCGGAUAAUAUAUUGAACCGCAUGGUUCAAUAGUGAAAGACGGUUUUGCUGUCACUUAUAGAUGGAUCCGCGCCGCAUUAGCUAGUUGGUAAGGUAACGGCUUACCAAGGCAACGAUGCGUAGCCGACCUGAGAGGGUGAUCGGCCACACUGGAACUGAGACACGGUCCAGACUCCUACGGGAGGCAGCAGUAGGGAAUCUUCAGCAAUGGGCGAAAGCCUGACGGAGCAACGCCGCGUGAGUGAUGAAGGUAUUCGGAUCGUAAAACUCUGUUAUUAGGGAAGAACAAAUGUGUAAGUAACUAUGCACGUCUUGACGGUACCUAAUCAGAAAGCCACGGCUAACUACGUG